GAAAACAAGCUCAGGGCUCCCACUGAUUGUACAUUAUGAGACGGAGUCUUGCUAUGUUGCCCAGGCUGGUCUUGAACUCCUCACCUCAAGCGAUCCUCCCGUCUUGGCCUCCCAAGUGUCAGGAUUACGGGCAUGUGCUAUCACACCCAACCUGAUACAUUGCCUUUAUAAAUUUUUUUUUCUUUAUUCUAAAAACCAGAAAAAACAAAACUGGAUACAUGUGCAGAACAUGCAGACCAAGUGUGUUGGGGACUUGAGAUGCGUACAUGAGUGUGAUGUUUCCUGCUGAAAGCACAGGGAGGAGGACCUGGUUGAUAGAAGAAUUUAUCUCGUAGUCUUAACAUCCACUGUAAUUCCAAACUUUGAGGACGAUAGAGAUCAGUGGGCUUUGACUGCCCAGCAUGCAGUCUCCAUUCUUAGGUGGGUUCCCAAGCCUGUAAAAUGUAAGCCUUAUGCUGCUGAGGGCCAUCUUGCCACCCUGAGGGAAACGCUGCCUGAGAAUGAAACAAGCAUAAGUAAAAGCUGAGCUGUGAGAUGGAGCAAGAUGAAGGCCACAUGACAUCUUUGGAGCACCUGGAUCUAACUGUGCCUUAAGCUAGUCUAACCCUGAACAUUUCAUCAUUUCAUUGACAUGAGCCCAGGUUUUCUUUUUUUUUGGAUGGAGUCUUGCUCUGUCGCCCAGGCUGGAGUGCAGUAGCUCAAUCUCGGCUCACUGCAAGCUCCACCUCCCGGGUUCACGCCAUUCUCCUGCCUUAGCCUCCCAAGUAGCUGGGACAACAGGCGCCCACCACCACUCCCAGCUAAUUUUUUGUAUUUUUAGUAGAGACGGGGUUUUACCAUGUUAGCCGGGAUGGUCUUGAUCUCCUGACCUCAUGAUCCGCCCGCCUCGGCCUCCCAAAGUGCUGGGAUUACAGGUGUGAGCCACUGCACCCAGCCCUCAGGUUUUCCCUUUUUUUACCCCUCCUUUUGAAAAUUUGAUGUGGAAUUUUGCCACCUGCAGCCAGAAGAGUUUUAACUAAUCAGUGCCAUAAAUUUUAUAUAGUUCUCCUUGCAAAAUGUGGAUCAGCCUUUCUCAGCAAAUCCUUUGUCAUAAAGUGCUGAAUUGUAAGUUUGUCAUGAGAAUCACAUGAGAUCAUGCAUGUGAAGAACCUGGCAUUAUCCUCCUCAUAGAAAAAAACCAGUAAAUAUUAACUACAGGAAGCAAGGAAGGAGUGGGGUGAGGGGAAGAAGAAGGGGUACUGAUUUAAAAGAACCCUGGAGUCCUAAGGAUAAUCUAGGAACCCUCAGACCCAAUCCGAUACCCCUAUUCUAAAUGCUCCUAGUGCCCUGUACCUUCCCCUCAUAAGCCUUCAUUAUCAUUGUAAUGAUAUGUUUAUGUAAUAUUUUGAUUAAUGUCUCUCCUUCACUGACCUAGCAGUUCUAGCAGGGCAGUGAUUUUGCUGUGUUGCAUCCCCAGCACCUAGUCUGGUAUGUGGCAUUCAGCAUAUGUUUAUUGAAUGAAUGGCCAUGUGGUUAUUCAGAUCCUCCUUGAUUAUUGGGGUUAGGAUUGUGGCAGAAGUGGCAAAAUCAGGGAGAGUAGUCCCUGUCCCCUCUGUAUCUUAUACACUGCCCACACUCCCAACACACAUACACAUACAGAGAAUUUUGUCUCAAUUAGAUAAUUAACUUCUGCUUGGUUGUAAACCAAACCACUGGUUCUUAAACUUUCAUUGGAUCAUUUUAUUGAAGAAUUAAAUAGUGUGGUUCUGGCCUAAUGUCUGGAAAGCCUUGCAGAGGAGUGGAUUAGGUCUUUGUGAUAAACAGGCAGCCUUCCCUGCUCCUGUGUCUUUAUAAAAUCUAUUUAACUGGAGUAGUCCACCCUCCCUCAGGCUCUUACAGGAAUAUGUUGGAGGCUGUAGGAAGGUGGGAAACCGAGAGGGAAAGGACUGGGCCGCUGGAGACUUCACUCAUUCCCUAGCAAGAAACAAAAGCAGUAAAAGGUGGCCCGAGGACAACCUGAAGCUCACUCCUUCAGCACUUUUGGCUGGAGGUCACUUGUUGGAGCCCCACUCAGAGCUCAGCACACCACCCCACCAGCAGCCUCCUCCUCCCAGCUGAGGCUGCAUUUCAUCCCUUCCCCCAGCCUGCUUUCCCUGAGAUAGGGGAGUGUUUCCCAGGGCCCAUGUGACUUCCACUGGCAAGUGACGAUUACCAAUGGUUUACUAGUCAGUGAAACUACCAAAGGCUUUUGUGCUGUAGUAAUCCUUUUCCUGUUUAAAACUCUGGGGAUUUUCUAAUGUUGCCAAUAGUUUUUCAAGUCAGCAAUUACUGUGUGGAUUAUGUAAUGGCUCGGUAUUAAAAAUAGAAAAGACUGGAGUUUGCAUCUAUUUUAACCAAAUCUUGAAAACAGAGCAAAGGGAGGGGAAGGGUGGAGAGGGAGAGACCAGAGGAGGAGGGAGAAAAAGAGAUCAUGUGACUGGAUAAGACAGCUCACAAUUCACUGUGCCUUUCUCCCACCAUUUGUGGCCCAAGGACCUGUACUCCCUCCUCAGCCUCCUCUAGGGAGGGGUCCUUGAUGAGAAUUCUGAGGACACAAGACCCCUUGUGGAUAUUUCUUAGCUCAGCCUUGGUGUGCUUACCUGCUUCUGACAAGCAAAGUGGCCAAGUAGGGGAGGGAGUUGAAUCUGAUGUCCUCCACUAAGUCCAG
rnacentral:lncRNA from 10 species